GAAUCCCCAUCAAUGCGAAGAAUGUGCGUUAUCCCGAGGAGUGAUUCGAUUCUCGAGAAACUUGCUGGCCUAAACUCGCCUUGUAUUGUCCAUGUGAAAUCCAGUGUAGUAGUAAAGGUUGGUAUACAACUUUAUUUAAAUGUGUUUAAAAUCCUGCUAUUUGAUUAUGCAUGCACAUACAGGACUACAAGUCCUUAGCCAAGUCUCAAACAUGUCGUUUAAUUUUUAAUAGUUGGAUCCCACAAAGCUUGAACAAGAUGAUUUAGACAAUGAUGAGAUUCUGUUAAUUUGGGAUUUUGAUGUGGAUGAGUUUUAUUGGAAAAUGCUAUAGCAAUAACUCCAGCUACAUCAACAGAUGUUGAGGAAUAUCCUCAGGCACCUU